CCCAACUAUCCCUAUUAAUCAUUACGGUGGUCCUAGCCCAACAAAAUAGAACCAACAUCCUAUUCUAUUAUUCCAUGCUAAUCUAUUCAAGCAAAAACCCGCUUUAAACACUCUAAUUUUUUCAAGGUAAUGGUCCUGGUUCCCCGACACACCCAAUAAAGGGCAUACUGGCUCACCAGAAGGAUAGACCCGACAGCAGAACAGUACUCGCCAGAGACGGACCGUCCAGUCAGGCCUAAAAUUCAACUACGAGCUUUUUAACUGCAACAACUUUAAUAUACGCUAUUGGAGCUGGAAUUACCGUGGCUGCUGGCACCAGACUUGCCCUCCAA
rnacentral:misc_RNA from 1 species